CAGCACCUCAAGUGGUCAGGAUGAUUAUUGGGCCUAAAGCAUCCGUAGCCGGCGCUGUAAGUUUUCGGUUAAAUCUGUACGCUCAACGUACAGGCUGCCGGGAAUACUGCAGCGCUAGGGAGUGGGAGAGGUAGACGGUACUCGGUAGGAAGGGGUAAAAUCCUUUGAUCUAUUGAUGACCACCAGUGGCGAAGGCGGUCUACCAGAACACGUCCGACGGUGAGGGAUGAAAGCUGGGGGAGCAAUCCGGAUUAGAUACCCGAGUAGUCC
rnacentral:rRNA from 1 species